rnacentral:misc_RNA from 1 species
GAAAUGCGAUAAGUAAUGUGAAUUGCAGAAUUCAGUGAAUCAUCGAAUCUUUGAACGCACAUUGCGCCCGCCAGUAUUCUGGCGGGCAUGCCUGUUCGAGCGUCAUUUCAACCAUCAAGCCCCGCGCUUGUGUUGGGGACCUGCGGCUGCCGCAGGCCCUGAAAACCAGUGGCGGGCUCGCUGUCACACCGGGCGUAGUAGAUUUUAUCUCGCUCAGGGCGUGCUGCGGGUUCCGGCCGUUAAAAAGCCUUUUUUACCCAAGGUUGACCUCGGAUCAGGUAGGAAGACCCGCUGAACUAAAGC